rnacentral:rRNA from 1 species
UACAGAGGUCUCAAGCGUUGUUCGGAUUCAUUGGGCGUAAAGGGUGCGUAGGCGGUCCGGUAAGUCCGCUGUGAAAGUCGGGGGCUUAACCCUCGGAUGCCGGUGGAUACUGUCGGGCUUGAGUACGGAAGAGGCGAGUGGAAUUCCUGGUGUAGCGGUGAAAUGCGCAGAUAUCAGGAGGAACACCAAUUGCGAAGGCAGCUCGCUGGGACGUUACUGACGCUGAGACGCGAAAGCGUGGGGAGCGAACAGG